GGGGCCGUAGAUGCUUACACAUGCAGUCGAUUCAAGUUACCUUCGGGUAAUGAGGAUGGCGGACGGGUGAGUAACGCGUAAGGAACUUGCCUCUUGGACUGGGACAACUGUUGGAAACGACAGCUAAUACCGGAUAUUCUGAGAUUCUCGCAUGAGAAACUUAUGAAAGCUAUAUGCACCAAGAGAGAGCCUUGCGUUCCAUUAGCUAGUUGGUGGGGUAACGGCCCACCAAGGCGACGAUGGAUAGCCGGCCUGAGAGGGUGAACGGCCACAAGGGGACUGAGACACGGCCCUUACUCCUACGGGAGGCAGCAGUGGGGAAUAUUGGACAAUGGGCCACAAGCCUGAUCCAGCAAUUCUGUGUGCACGAUGAAGGUCUUCGGAUUGUAAAGUGCUUUCAGUUGGGAAGAAGAAAGUGACGGUACCAACAGAAGAAGCGACGGCUAAAUACGUGCCAGCAGCCGCGGUAAUACGUAUGUCGCAAGCGUUAUCCGGAUUUAUUGGGCGUAAAGCGCGUCUAGGCGGAAAAAUAAGUCUGAUGUUAAAAUGCGGGGCUCAACUCCGUAUUGCGUUGGAAACUGUUUUUCUAGAGUACUGGAGAGGUGGGCGGAACUACAAGUGUAGAGGUGAAAUUCGUAGAUAUUUGUAGGAAUGCCGAUGGAGAAGUCAGCUCACUGGACAGAUACUGACGCUGAAGCGCGAAAGCGUGGGGAGCAAACGGGAUUAGAUACCCUGGUAGUCCACGCCGUAAACGAUGAUCACUAGGUGGUUGGGGGUCGAACCUCAGCGCCCAAGCUAACGCGAUAAGUGAUCCGCCUGGGGAGUACGCACGCAAGUGUGAAACUCAAAGGAAUUGACGGGGACCCGCACAAGCGGUGGAGCAUGUGGUUUAAUUCGACGCAACGCGAGAAACCUUACCAGCGUUUGACAUCCUAAGAAGUUUCCAGAGAUGGAUUCGUGCCGGCUUGCCGGAACUUAAUGACAGGUGGGGCAUGGCUGUCGGCAGCUCCUGUCGGGAGAUGUUGGGGUAGGUCCGCGACGAGCGCAUCCCUAUUGGUUGUGCUACCGUGAGGUGAGCAUCGUGGAAACUGCUGCGAUACAGGAGGAAGAGUGUGAAGGCGUGUAUUGGGUUGCCGUGUUGUGUGGUGUUGUCGAGUGGA
rnacentral:rRNA from 1 species